UUACCCCAUGAUGCUCAGGUCCGCCGCAUCUCCUGGGUCGUGGGGUCGGUCGGCUGGCCUCGGAUUUGCGGAUUCCUCGUGCUGCAACCGGAACCAGCCGACCCCCAU
rnacentral:sRNA from 2 species